GAUGAAGAACGCAGCGAAAUGCGAUAAGUAAUGUGAAUUGCAGAAUUCAGUGAAUCAUCGAAUCUUUGAACGCACAUUGCGCCCGCCAGUAUUCUGGCGGGCAUGCCUGUUCGAGCGUCAUUACAACCCUCAGGCCCCCGGGCCUGGCGUUGGGGAUCGGCGGAGCCCCCCGUGGGCACACGCCGUCCCCCAAAUACAGUGGCGGUCCCGCCGCAGCUUCCAUCGCGUAGUAGCUAACACCUCGCGACUGGAGAGCGGCGCGGCCACGCCGUAAAACACCCAACUCUUCUGAAGUUGACCUCGAAUCAGGUAGGAAUACCCGCUGAACUUAAGCAUAACAAUAAGCGGAGGA
rnacentral:misc_RNA from 1 species